UAUUCACGAGGUUGCCGGUAUGCCUCGGACGCCGCUCAGUCUGCUGCUUACAACUAAUUUUGGUGGUGACAGAGCCGGAUUGCUUGUGCGAGGCUGUCACUAUCAGCAACACCCAAACUUUAUUAGUGAGGCUCACAUUCAGCAACUGCAACACCCCACUCCCCUCUCCCAGCCUAUGCGAGAGCGAGACUAGUGAGACUGAGAGCGAGAACAACAACGACAACGACAACGACUACGAGGUUCCUGCACUGCCACUACCUCCGGCCGAUUCUCCCGACCCCAACUAAGGUCAUCUCACUUUCAAAAUGUUGAUGCCAGGGGAUCUAACUUCCAACGACCAACUUCAAUUCAACUUAUAAGUUUGGUGUGCUGUUAAUUACACUUGCCUUGUAUUGUUUGUGUGAUUUUUAUGUACUUAGUAUACCUGUUUAUUCUCAUUUUGUUGUACCAUGGCUGAAGAGUGAAGACACUAGCUAUUUUGCCAA